rnacentral:tRNA from 1 species
UCCCUGCUGGCGCAAUGGUAGCGCGCAAGACUUCUAAUCUUGAGGCUGUAGGUUCGAGACCUACGUAGGGAG